UACGGGGGGAGCAAGCGUUGUUCGGAUUUACUGGGCGUAAAGGGCGCGUAGGCGGUCGUGACAAGUCACUUGUGAAAUCUCCGGGCUUAACUCGGAACGGUCAAGUGAUACUGUCGGACUAGAGUACAGAAGGGGCAACUGGAAUUCUCGGUGUAGCGGUGAAAUGCGUAGAUAUCGAGAGGAACACCUGCGGCGAAGGCGCUCUGCUAGGCCGUAACUGACACUGAGGGACGAAAGCUAGGGGAGCGAAUGGG
rnacentral:rRNA from 1 species